GCGGAGGAAAAGAAACCAACAGGGAUUGCCCUAGUAACGGCGAGUGAAGCGGCAACAGCUCAAAUUUGAAAUCUGGCUUCGGCCCGAGUUGUAAUUUGCAGAGGAAGCUUUAGGCGCGGCACCUCCUGAGUCCCCUGGAACGGGGCGCCACAGAGGGUGAGAGCCCCGUAUAGUUGGAUGCCUAGCCUGUGUAAAGCUCCUUCGACGAGUCGAGUAGUUUGGGAAUGCUGCUCAAAAUGGGAGGUAAAUUUCUUCUAAAGCUAAAUACCGGCCAGAGACCGAUAGCGCACAAGUAGAGUGAUCGAAAGAUGAAAAGCACUUUGAAAAGAGGGUUAAAUAGCACGUGAAAUUGUUGAAAGGGAAGCGCUUGUGACCAGACUUGCGCCGGGCUGAUCAUCCGGUGUUCUCACCGGUGCACUCUGCCCGGCUCAGGCCAGCAUCGGUUCUCGCGGGGGGAUAAAGGCCCUGGGAACGUAGCUCCUCCGGGAGUGUUAUAGCCCGGGGCGUAAUGCCCUCGCGGGGACCGAGGUUCGCGCUCUGCAAGGAUGCUGGCGUAAUGGUCAUCAGCGACCCGUCUUGAAACACGGACCAAGGAGUCAAGGUUUUGCGCGAGUGUUUGGGUGUAAAACCCGCACGCGUAAUGAAAGUGAACGUAGGUGAGAGCUUCGGCGCAUCAUCGACCGAUCCUGAUGUUCUCGGAUGGAUUUGAGUAGGAGCGUUAAGCCUUGGACCCGAAAGAUGGUGAACUAUGCUUGGAUAGGGUGAAGCCAGAGGAAACUCUGGUGGAGGCUCGCAGCGGUUCUGACGUGCAAAUCGAUCGUCAAAUCUGAGCAUGGGGGCGAAAGACUAAUCGAACCAUCUAGUAGCUGGUUACCGCCGA
rnacentral:rRNA from 1 species